AAUCAACGCUGGCGGCGUGCCUCAGACAUGCAAGUCGAACGAUUAAAGCUCUCUUCGGAGAGUGCAUAGAGUGGCGCACGGGUGAGUAACACGUAAGUAAUCUACCCUCGAGUGGGGAAUAACGUCCGGAAACGGACGCUAAUACCGCAUAAUGCAGCGGCACCGCAAGGUGACAGUUGUUAAAGAUUUAUCGCUUGAGGAGGAGCUUGCGGCAGAUUAGCUAGUUGGUAAGGUAAUGGCUUACCAAGGCUACGAUCUGUAACCGGUCUUAGAGGACGGUCGGUCACACUGACACUGAAUAACGGGUCAGACUCCUACGGGAGGCAGCAGUCGGGAAUUUUGGGCAAUGGGCGAAAGCCUGACCCAGCAACGCCGCGUGAAGGAUGAAGUAUUUCGGUAUGUAAACUUCGAAAGAAUAGGAAGAAUAAAUGACGGUACUAUUUAUAAGGUCCGGCUAACUACGUGCCAGCCGCCGCGGUAAG
rnacentral:rRNA from 1 species